GAUGAACGCUAGCGGGAGGCUUAACACAUGCAAGUCGAGGGGCAGCACGAGGUAGUAAUACUUUGGUGGCGACCGGCGCACGGGUGAGUAACGCGUAUGCAACCUACCCUGUACUGGGGGAUAGCCCGGAGAAAUUCGGAUUAAUACCCCAUAAUUAUAUUUGGAGGCAUCUUCAGAUAUUUAAAGUUUCGACGGUACGGGAUGGGCAUGCGUGACAUUAGCUAGUUGGUAAGGUAACGGCUUACCAAGGCUACGAUGUCUAGGGGUCCUGAGAGGGUGAUCCCCCACACUGGUACUGAGACACGGACCAGACUCCUACGGGAGGCAGCAGUGAGGAAUAUUGGUCAAUGGGCGCAAGCCUGAACCAGCCAUCCCGCGUGAAGGAAGAAGGCGCUAUGCGUCGUAAACUUCUUUUCCGGAGGAAUAAAAUUUCGUACGUGUACGAAAC
rnacentral:rRNA from 1 species